rnacentral:rRNA from 1 species
AUACGGAGGGUGCAAGCGUUAUCCGGAAUUAUUGGGUUUAAAGGGUGCGCAGGCGGCCAUUUAAGUCAGCGGUUAAAUCGUGGGGCUCAACCCCAUUCUGCCGUUGAUACUGGGUGGCUUGAUUGCGGUCGAGGUUGGCGGAAUUCGUUGUGUAGCGGUGAAAUGCAUAGAUAUGACGAAGAACACCGAUUGCGUAGGCAGCUGACCAGACCGCAAAUGACGCUCAUGCACGAAAGUGCGGGGAUCGAACAGGAUUAGAUACCCUGGUAGUCCGCACAGUAAACGAUGAAUACUUGUUUUCGGCGAUAUAAUGUCGGAGGCAAAGCGAAAGCGAUAAGUAUUCCACCUGGGGAGUACGCCGGCAACGGUGAAACUUAAAGGAAUUGACGGGG